rnacentral:rRNA from 1 species
AACGAACGCUGGCGGCAGGCUUAACACAUGCAAGUCGAGCGCCCCGCAAGGGGAGCGGCAGACGGGUGAGUAACGCGUGGGAAUCUACCCAUCUCUACGGAAUAACGCAUGGAAACGUGUGCUAAUACCGUAUACGUCCUUCGGGAGAAAGAUUUAUCGGAGAUGGAUGAGCCCGCGUUGGAUUAGCUAGUUGGUGGGGUAAAGGCCUACCAAGGCGACGAUCCAUAGCUGGUCUGAGAGGAGGAUCAGCCACACUGGGACUGAGACACGGCCCAGCCUCCUACGGGAGGCAGCAGUGGGGCAUGUUGGACAAGGGGCGCAAGCCUGUUCCAGCCAUGCCGCGUGAGUGAUGAAGGCCCUAGGGUUGUAAAGCUCUUUCACCGGUGAAGAUAAUGACGGUAACCGGAGAAGAAGCCCCGGCUAACUUCGUGCCAGCCGCCGCGGUAAAAC